rnacentral:rRNA from 1 species
CCUACGGGGAGCAGCAGUGGGGAAUAUUGGACAAUGGGGGCAACCCUGAUCCAGCCAUGCCGCGUGUGUGAAGAAGGCCCUCGGGUUGUAAAGCACUUUCAGUGAGGAAGAACGCCUGGUGGUUAAUACCCAUCAGGAAAGACAUCACUCACAGAAGAAGCACCGGCUAACUCCGUGCCAGCAGCCGCGGUAAUACGGAGGGUGCGAGCGUUAAUCGGAAUUACUGGGCGUAAAGCGCGCGUAGGUGGCUUGAUAAGCCGGUUGUGAAAGCCCCGGGCUCAACCUGGGAACGGCAUCCGGAACUGUCAAGCUAGAGUGCAGGAGAGGAAGGUAGAAUUCCCGGUGUAGCGGUGAAAUGCGUAGAGAUCGGGAGGAAUACCAGUGGCGAAGGCGGCCUUCUGGACUGACACUGACACUGAGGUGCGAAAGCGUGGGUAGCAAACAGGAUUAGAUACCCCGGUAGUC